rnacentral:tRNA from 1 species
GGUCUUUUAGUUUAUUAUGAAUAUUUUGUUUACAACAAUAAGGAAUUAUUAGACUU